CUGUGGAGCACACAGAGGGAUACCCAGUAGGUUCCAUCUCUCUGCCAGGAACCAUGGGAGGCUCUUGCCUUCAGAUCUCCUUUCAUGUCCUUACCAGAUGCCAAAGCUGAUACUCAUCUGCAUUUCUCAACACAUGAGGAAAUGAACUCUGUGAGAGGAAUCUGCACAGAGCUCAAAGGGUUUGAAUCAGCCCCUGAUACCAUCAUCAAACAGUUGGCCCUUCUGCAUACUCUCGUCCUUCAAAGACCAUGACCUGCGCUGCCAACACAGCUGAGAAGACUUCAUCCGAUUCCUGUCGCUCUAAGAAAG
rnacentral:lncRNA from 1 species